rnacentral:rRNA from 1 species
GCCUGUUUAUCAAAAACAUGUCUUUUUGUUCAUAAUUUAAAGUUUAAUCUGCCCACUGAUAUAUUAUUAUUAAAGGGCUGCAGUAAUUUGACUGUACAAAGGUAGCAUAAUCAUUAGUCUUUUAAUUGGUGACUUGUAUGAAAGAUUGGAUGAAAUAUAAACUGUCUUAAAAAUAAAUUAUUGAAUUUAAUUUUUUAAUUAAAAAGUUAAAAUAUAUUAAAAAGACGAGAAGACCCUAUAGAGUUUUAUAUUUAAUUAAAUUUAAAUUAUAUGUUAAUUAAUAAAUUAUAGAUUUUUUUUAAUAUUUUAUUGGGGUGAUAAAAAAAUAAAAAAAACUUUUUUUUAAUUUAAACGUAGAUAAAUGAUUUUAUGAUCCAAUUAAUAUUGAUUAAAAGAAAAAAUUACCUUAGGGAUAACAGCGUAAUUUUUUUUUUUAGUUCUUAUAAGAAAAAGAGUUUGCGACCUCGAUGUUGGAUUAAGAUAAAAUUUAA